UACGAAGGGUGCAAGCGUUAAUCGGAAUUACUGGGCGUAAAGGGUGCGUAGGCGGUUCGUUAAGUCUGUCGUGAAAUCCCCGGGCUCAACCUGGGAAUGGCGAUGGAUACUGGCGAGCUAGAGUGUGUCAGAGGAUGGUGGAAUUCCCGGUGUAGCGGUGAAAUGCGUAGAGAUCGGGAGGAACACCAGUGGCGAAGGCGGCACCCUGGACCAGCACUGACACUGAGGCACGAAAGCGUGGGGAGCAAACAGG
rnacentral:rRNA from 1 species